rnacentral:rRNA from 1 species
AUGCAAGUCGAACGGUGAACACGGAGCUUGCUCUGUGGGAUCAGUGGCGAACGGGUGAGUAACACGUGAGCAACCUGCCCCUGACUCUGGGAUAAGCGCUGGAAACGGCGUCUAAUACUGGAUACGAACCACGAAGGCAUCUUCAGUGGUUGGAAAGAUUUAUUGGUUGGGGAUGGGCUCGCGGCCUAUCAGCUUGUUGGUGAGGUAAUGGCUCACCAAGGCGUCGACGGGUAGCCGGCCUGAGAGGGUGACCGGCCACACUGGGACUGAGACACGGCCCAGACUCCUACGGGAGGCAGCAGUGGGGAAUAUUGCACAAUGGGCGCAAGCCUGAUGCAGCAACGCCGCGUGAGGGAUGACGGCCUUCGGGUUGUAAACCUCUUUUAGCAGGGAAGAAGCGAAAGUGACGGUACCUGCAGAAAAAGCGCCGGCUAACUACGUGCCAGCAGCCGCGGUAAUACA